rnacentral:antisense_RNA from 1 species
AAUUGCUCCUGAGACCCAACAGGCAGCAACGGUCCCAAGGGUGAGGAAGUGGGCAGGGAGGGGCUGAUGGGGCUUCUACACGUUCCCUCCCGUAGCUGGGCUGCUGCAGCUCGUUCGCCCCAGAGGCGCGCGGUGUCCUUGGGUCCAAGUAUUCAGCGCGGACGUUUGGGGGACGGAGGGAGAGGCGCUAGGGGAAACUGGCACCUAAGACUGUGUAAUAGGACCCGGGUCUUGCAAGCCCUCCUCCCCAGGCACCGCCCCUGUGCUCCCAGCGCCUCUUUGCAGCUUUAAUUAUCCUUUCAGCGCCGUUCCCCCGCGGCUGCGUUUCCGUGGUCAGAGGAAAAAGGCUCUCUCGCCUCCCGGUUCUCACCCUCAUACAGACCCUCCUUUCAGACCCGCCCUCCUGUUCACAGGGACCCAUUUCGGAGCCCUGGCUCACGCUGGGCGGGAACUGCCGUGACGAAUUCCGCCCAAGGUGUUGAUUAUCCAUCCCAACCCAGCCUCUGGCUUCCCUCCCACCUCCACCCCAGCUCCCACAGGCCCCUCGCCCCCUUCAUCGGCUGGGCGCUCGAGACGGCGCCCCCAGAUCUCCCACCGGGCAGUGUCCCCAGCUGCAGCUGAGGAGAGAAGCGCCGGCGUGCGCGGUGCCACGUCGGAAUUGGCUCUGGGGACGCUGCAGCUGCCGAAGCGCAGCGCGCGGUCCCCACGCACGCCCUGCCUCCGGGCGGCCGGCGGGCUGGCCAGGCGAGGAGAGGAGGGAUGCGCGCCCUCCUCCCGCUCCUAUCUGCGGGUGCCACCGCCUGCGUCAGGGACCCCUGGCCCGAUCUUUCUGCCCCCGAUAACAGAAAAUCUCUUUUUCGUCUUAAAAAAAAAAAAAAAAAAAAAAGCCUGUGGAAGACUCAGCAGAACCCAGGAAGCGCAGAAUUGGGAGAAAAGUCUUUGGCUGGGGCUGUUUCAAGUCUCUGGUUCAAUGGGCUGCUCGAAGCCAGGACUGGGUAAUUCUUUCCAGACGUCUUGACUUCUCCUUCCUCGCCGUUGUUGCCUUUCUGCCUCCUCCAACUUAAGGGGGUCUUAACAAGAUCUUCUGAGGGGUGGACUUCUUUGGAACUCGACAGGACCUUGAAGACUGGGUUCUUAGUCCUUAUCACAUAUAUGGGCUAUAAUGAGUAAGUCUAAACAGAAAAGUCGAAUAAACUGGAAAUGAUGCUUUCAUCACGUCGCACAAGGAGCUGUUUGGAUCAGAAGAUGACAUCUUUCACCCAUCCCUUUCAGGUUUUGAUAUCCUAAAAUGUACCUUAUGGAACCCAUACCUGUUAUGUUUUCACCUGUACAAGGCAACAGAGAAAACAUGGUAGUUUUUACUUGAGUAGAUGUGACUUAGCAAUAUGUUGUUGCUGACCUCCAUCCCACAGCACAAAACAUAUGUUUAUAUGUCUGAGAGACAAAGUAUCCAGAACAAGGAUUUACUACCUUCAUAAUCCUCUGUAUAUGUGGUUCUAGAACUUUUGGUAAAGAAACUCUUUAUACUCUUAUUAAUUAUUGAGAACCUCAAAAAAAGUUUAUAUGUUAUAUGUAUCAAUAUUCACCACAUUAGACAUUAAAGCUGACUUAAAAAGUUAAAAUACUUAAGUCAUUUGAAGUAAUAAUAAAUGC